AGAGUUUGAUCAUGGCUCAGGACGAACGCUGGCGGCGUGCUUAACACAUGCAAGUCGAACGGAAAGGCCCUGCUUUUGUGGGGUGCUCGAGUGGCGAACGGGUGAGUAACACGUGAGUAACCUGCCCUUGACUUUGGGAUAACUUCAGGAAACUGGGGCUAAUACCGGAUAGGAGCUCCUGCUGCAUGGUGGGGGUUGGAAAGUUUCGGCGGUUAGGGAUGGACUCGCGGCUUAUCAGCUUGUUGGUGGGGUAGUGGCUUACCAAGGCUUUGACGGGUAGCCGGCCUGAGAGGGUGACCGGCCACAUUGGGACUGAGAUACGGCCCAGACUCCUACGGGAGGCAGCAGUGGGGAAUAUUGCACAAUGGGCGGAAGCCUGAUGCAGCAACGCCGCGUGCGGGAUGACGGCCUUCGGGUUGUAAACCGCUUUCGCCUGUGACGAAGCGUGAGUGACGGUAAUGGGUAA
rnacentral:rRNA from 1 species